AUUGAACGCUGGCGGCAGGCCUAACACAUGCAAGUCGAACGAGUGGCGGACGGGUGAGUAAUGUCUGGGAAACUGCCCGAUGGAGGGGGAUAACUACUGGAAACGGUAGCUAAUACCGCAUACCAUCGGAUGUGCCCAGAUGGGAUUAGCUAGUAGGUGGGGUAAUGGCUCACCUAGGCGACGAUCCCUAGCCGGUCUGAGAGGAUGAACGGCCACAUGGGGACUGAGACACGGCCCAGACGCCUACGGGAGGCAGCAGUGGGGAAUAUUGCACAAUGGGCGAAAGCCUGAUCCAGCCAUGCCGCGUGUGUGAAGAAGGUCUUCGGAUUGUAAAGCACUUUAAGUUGGGAGGCGUUACCAACAGAAUAAGCACCGGCUAACUUCGUGCCAGCAGCCGCGGUAAUAC
rnacentral:rRNA from 1 species